rnacentral:rRNA from 1 species
AGUGAACGCUGGCGGUAGGCCUAACACAUGCAAGUCGAACGGCAGCACAGUAAGAGCUUGCUCUUACGGGUGGCGAGUGGCGGACGGGUGAGGAAUACAUCGGAAUCUACUUUUUCGUGGGGGAUAACGUAGGGAAACUUACGCUAAUACCGCAUACGACCUACGGGUGAAAGCAGGGGAUCUUCGGACCUUGCGCGAUUGAAUGAGCCGAUGUCGGAUUAGCUAGUUGGCGGGGUAAAGGCCCACCAAGGCGACGAUCCGUAGCUGGCCUGAGAGGAUGAUCAGCCACACUGGAACUGAGACACGGUCCAGACCCCUACGGGAGGCAGCAGUGGGGAAUAUUGGACAAUGGGCGCAAGCCUGAUCCAGCCAUACCGCGUGGGUGAAGAAGGCCUUCGGGUUGUAAAGCCCUUUUGUCGGGAAAGAAAAGCAGCAGGUUAAUACCCCGCUGUUCUGACGGUACCCAAAGAAUAAGCACCGGCUAACUUCGUG